GACGGAGGAUGCAAGCGUUAUCCGGAAUGAUUGGGCGUAAAGCGUCCGCAGGUGGCAGUUCAAGUCUGCUGUCAAAGACCGGGGCUUAACUUCGGAAAGGCAGUGGAAACUGAACAGCUAGAGUAUGGUAGGGGCAGAGGGAAUUCCUGGUGUAGCGGUGAAAUGCGUAGAGAUCAGGAAGAACAUCAGUGGCGAAGGCGGCUUACUGGUCCGGUUCUGACGCUGAGGCGCGAAAGCGUGGGGAGCAAACAGGGAUAGAAAC
rnacentral:rRNA from 1 species